rnacentral:rRNA from 1 species
AUUGAACGCUGGCGGCAGGCCUAACACAUGCAAGUCGAGCGGAAGAAGCGGGCUUUCUCCUGGAUUCGGCGGCGGACGGGGGGGUAAUGCCUAGGAUUCUGCCUGGUUGUCGGGGAUAACGUCCGAAAACGGGCGCUACUACCCCAUACGUCCUGUUGGAGCAAGUGGGGGGGCUUGGGACCUCUCGCCAGCUGGUGAGCGUAGGUCGGCUUAUCUAGUUGGUGGGGUAAUUGGCUACCAAGGCGGCGAUCCGUAACUGGUCCGAGAGGAUGGUCAGUCACCUGGGAACUGAGACACGGUCCAGACUCCUACGGGAGGCAGCAGUGGGGAAUAUUGGGCAAUGGGGGAAAGCCUGAUACAGCCAUGCGGCGUGUGUGAAGAAGGUGCUCGGAUUGUAAAGCACUGUAAGUUGGGAGGAAGGGCAGUAAGUUAAGACGUUGCGGUAUUGACGGUACCGGGAGAAUAAGCACCGGCUAACUUCGUG